CAUAAGUCAUCGGUUCAAAUCCGAUAAAGGGCU
rnacentral:tRNA from 1 species